rnacentral:rRNA from 1 species
GGUCAAGCUACAAAGGGCGCAUGGUGAAUGCCUUGGCAUCAGGAGCCGAUGAAGGACGCGAUAAGCUGCGAUAAGCUUCGGGUAGACGCACAUAGUCAGAGAUC